AUCCAGUUGACAUGUUCCAAAUAAGACGAAACAUGCGUCCUGGAU
rnacentral:hammerhead_ribozyme from 1 species